rnacentral:rRNA from 1 species
CCUACGGGUGGCAGCAGUGAGGAAUAUUGGACAAUGGGCUUACGCCUGAACCAGCCACGCCGCGUGAGGGAAGAAUGCCCUCUGGGUUGUAAACCUUUUUUGUCAGGGAGCAAAGCCGGCUACGUGUAGCCGGACUGAGAGUAACUGACGUAACAGCAUCGGCUAACUCCCUGGCAGCAGCCGCGGUAAUACGGAGGAUGCGAGCGUUAUCCGGAUUUAUUGGGUUAAAAGGGUGCGUAGGCGGAAUGCCAAGUCAGCGGUAAAAUCGCGGGGCUCAACCUCGCUCCGCCUUUGAAACUGGCGAGCUUGAGUGGGCGAGAGGUAAGCGGAAUGCGUGGUGUAGCGGUGAAAUGCAUAGAUAUAACGCAGAACACCGAUGGCGAAGGCAGCAUACUGGCGCCCAACUGACGCUGAGGCACGAAAGCGUGGGUAGCGAACAGGAUUAGAUACCCGAGUAGUC